UGGUGCGGAGUAGAGGUACCCACGUAUUCAUUGACUGUCUUUAAGGGCAAUAAAACACGUCACAUUUUUGAAUCAACUAGACUUUUUCUUGCUACCCCUUUUUUUUUUCUUACAUUUUGAGUUUGGACCACUUCUUUUUCACUCAGCCUUUCAACCUAUGACCCUCACUCUAAGUCUAAGUGUGACAGGGAGCAAAAGAGAAGUCCCUUAUCUCCGGUAGGGACCAACACCAGAGGCUUCAAAGAGCUGGACAUCACUCCCGGAGGCUUUAUUGUAGUCAAGCAAUCACAGAUGGGCUCCAGGUCCUCCACGACCCCUGAUGGGAAAUAAGUACAGAUAAUGGAACUUAAUGGGACUUAUUUUCCAUGAAUUGAGAUGGGGCGAAAACUGGUUUAAAGUGGUGAGAAAGUCAUCUGUGUUAAGCUGCCACAAUCCCAUCCUUGAUAAUUCCCACAGCAGUUGAACUAAUAAUCAAAGGCCUCUCUUUCUGUGAAAAUAAUACAGAAUACUUACGCAUGUUGGCAUGGUUACUAAGGCUACAUUACAACAAAGUAUGGGCCUAUCUGGUACACAUAUGUCUUGGUACAACUGCAAUUAAGCAUUGAUUUAUUUUA